UACGUAGGGGGCAAGCGUUGUCCGGAUUUAUUGGGCGUAAAGAGCGUGUAGGCGGCUUUGCAAGUCCGUUGUGAAAACUCGAGGCUCAACCUCGAGACGCCGAUGGAAACCAUCUGGCUAGAGUCCGGAAGAGGCGAGUGGAACUCCUGGUGUAGCGGUGGAAUGCGCAGAUAUCAGGAAGAACACCAACGGCGAAGGCAGCUCGCUGGGACGGAACUGACGCUAAGGCGCGAAAGCGUGGGGAGCGAACAGG
rnacentral:rRNA from 1 species